CCUACGGGCGGCAGCAGUGGGGAAUAUUGCACAAUGGGGGAAACCCUGAUGCAGCGACGCCGCGUGGGUGAAGAAGUAAUUCGUUAUUUAAAGCUCUAUCAGCAGGGAAGAAAAUGACGGUACCUGCGUAAGAAGCCCCGGCGAACUACGUGCCAGCAGCCGUGGGAAUGCGUAGGGGGCAAGCGUUAUCCGGAUUUACUGGGUGUAAAUGGUGCGUAGACGGCAGCGGAAGUCUGGAGUGAAAUGCCGGGGCCCAACCCCGGAACUGCUCUGGAAACUGGGAAGCUGGAGUGCAGGAGAGGUAAGCGGAAUGCGUGGUGUAGCGGUGAAAUGCGUAGAUAUCAGGAGGAACACCGGCGGCGAAGGCGGCUUACUGGACUGUAACUGACGUUGAGGCUCGAAGGCGUGGGGAGCAAACAGGAGUAGAUACCCGAGUAGUC
rnacentral:rRNA from 1 species